rnacentral:misc_RNA from 1 species
CCGUCAGUCGCCGCCGCGGCCGGAUCUCUUCCGCUGACCGCCGCUGUACAGCGGAGUGUUUCCGGAAGCCGUCGGCACCAUGGGGGAGGAGGUGGCGCGCCGCGGCAGCGGCUCAUCCUCGGCCGGCGACGGCCACGUCAAGCUGAAGAAGGAGCUGGGCCUCCUGGAGGGCGUGGCUGUCAUCCUCGGCAUCAUCAUCGGCUCAGGCAUCUUCAUCUCGCCGAAGGGCGUGCUGGUCGAGUGCGGCUCGGUGGGCAUGUCGCUGGUGGUCUGGAGCCUGUGCGGCCUGCUCUCCAUGAUCGGCGCGCUCUGUUACGCCGAGCUCGGCACCACCAUCCCCAAGUCGGGCGGCGACUACGCCUACAUACUGGAGGCGUUCGGACCGCUGCCGGCCUUUCUCUUCCUCUGGGACGCCAACCUCAUCUUCGUCCCAACAACCAACGCCAUCAUGGGCCUGACGUUCGGAAACUACGUACUCCAGCCCUUCUUCCCUAAUUGUGACAUCAACUCCUACGCAGUCCGCCUGCUGGCCGCUGCUGCCAUCUGCAUUCUAACCUUCAUCAACUGCUACAAUGUCAAGGUGACGACGCGGCUGCAGAACCUGUUCAUGGUCACCAAGCUGCUGGCCCUGGUCCUUGUCAUCGUGGUCGGCCUGGUGGUGCUCUGCAUGGGCAACGGCCAGAGCUUCAGCAACGCGUUCGACGGCAUGUCGACGGACCCGGGCCAGAUCGCCGUCUCGUUCUAUUCGGGAAUCUUCUCCUACGCCGGCUGGAACUACUUAAACUUCAUGACGGAGGAGCUGAAGGACCCGUAUCGGAACCUGCCGCGCUCCAUCUACCUGAGUCUGCCGCUGGUCACCUGCAUCUACGUGCUUGCCAAUGUCGCCUAUCUGGUCGUGCUCUCGCCGUACGAGAUGCUGGCUUCGGACGCGAUCGCCGUGACGUUCGCGAACAAGACGCUGGGUGUGAUGGCCUGGGUCAUGCCGCUGUUCGUGGCCUUCUCGGCCUUCGGCGGACUCAGCGUGCACAUCAUGACGUCAUCGAGGCUAUGUUUCGUUGGUGCUCGGAAUGGCCAUUUUCCUGGUGCCCUGGCUCUGAUCAGCCAGAAGUACAUCACGCCCACCCCGUCGCUGGUGUUCCUCGCUUUGCUUCAUCGGCGCGCGUCACGGCCACUUCCCGUUGGCGCUGUGCGGCGUUCAGAUGCGCCACUUCACGCCAGCGCCGGCACUCGUCUACCUCGGUCUUCUGUCGCUGGUGUACCUGUGCACCAGCGACAUUUUCGCCCUGAUUAACUACGCCAGCUUCAUCGAGUCUUCGUUCAUCCUCUGCUCGAUAUCCGGCCUGCUGUACCUCCGCUGGAAAGAGCCUGCCAGGGAGCGACCUAUCAGAGUGAACAUCGUGAUACCGAUCUUAUUCCUGAUGAUCUGCGGCUUUCUCGUGUUCAUGCCGCUCUACGUCAAACCGAUCGAGGUCGGCAUGGGCAUCCUCAUCACCUUCACGGGGGUGCCCGCCU